rnacentral:rRNA from 1 species
GAAUCCCGUCCUUGGCAUGGAUGACCGGGGCUUUUGUGAUGCGCUCUCGAAGAGUCGAGUUGUUUGGGAAUGCAGCUCAAAAUGGGUGGUGAACUCCAUCUAAAGCUAAAUAUUGGCGAGAGACCGAUAGCGAACAAGUACCGUGAGGGAAAGAUGAAAAGCACUUUGGAAAGAGAGUGAAACAGUACGUGAAAUUGUUGAAAGGGAAACGCUUGAAGUCAGUCGCGUCGGCCGAGACUCAGCCUUGCCUCGGCUUGGUGUACUUCUUGACCGACGGGUCAGCAUCAAUUUUGCCCCUUGGAUAAUGGCGAGGGAAAUGUGACACCUUUAUAGGUGUGUUAUAGUCUCUCGUCGCAUGCAAGGGUCGGGAUUGAGGAACUCAGCACGCGCCUUCGGGCGUCGGGGCCUUGCCCACGAUACGUGCUUAGGAUGUUGGCGUAAUGGCUUUAAACGACCCGUCUUGAAACACGGACCAAGGAGUCUAACAUGCCCGCGAGUGUUCGGGUGGAAAACCCGUGCGCGCAAUGAAAGUGAAAGUUGGGACCUCUGUCGCGGAGGGCACCGACGCCCGGACCAGAGCUUCUGCGACGGAUCUGCGGUGGAGCGUGUAUGUUAGGACCCGAAAGAUGGUGAACUAUGCCUGAAUAGGGUGAAGCCAGAGGAAACUCUGGUGGAGGCUCGUAGCGAUUCUGACGUGCAAAUCGAUCGUCAAAUUUGGGUAUAGGGGCGAAAGACUAAUCGAACCAUCUAGUAGCUGGUUCCUGCC